GGCCUCUUAGCUCAGUUGGAUAGCGCGUUGGCUGUACUAAAACCCUCUCCUUUGUGGUGUGGGUUCGAAUCCCAUCGAGGCCG
rnacentral:tRNA from 1 species